rnacentral:tRNA from 1 species
GCAGCCGUAGCUUAGUUGGAUAGAGCACCUGACUACGAAUCAGGAGGUCGUGUGUUCGAAUCACACCGGUUGCGCCA